rnacentral:rRNA from 1 species
UUAAGCGACUAAGCGUACACGGUGGAUGCCCUGGCAGUCAGAGGCGAUGAAGGACGUGCUAAUCUGCGAUAAGCGUCGGUGAGGUGAUAUGAACCGUUAUAACCGGCGAUUUCCGAAUGGGGAAACCCAGUGUGAUUCGUCACACUAUCAUUAACUGAAUCCAUAGGUUAAUGAGGCGAACCGGGGGAACUGAAACAUCUAAGUACCCCGAGGAAAAGAAAUCAACCGAGAUUCCCCCAGUAGCGGCGAGCGAACGGGGAGGAGCCCAGAGCCUGAAUCAGUGUGUGUGUUAGUGGAAGCGUCUGGAAAGGCGCGCGAUACAGGGUGACAGCCCCGUACACAAAAAUGCACAUAUUGUGAGCUCGAUGAGUAGGGCGGGACACGUGGUAUCCUGUCUGAAUAUGGGGGGACCAUCCUCCAAGGCUAAAUACUCCUGACUGACCGAUAGUGAACCAGUACCGUGAGGGAAAGGCGAAAAGAACCCCGGCGAGGGGAGUGAAAAAGAACCUGAAACCGUGUACGUACAAGCAGUGGGAGCCUCUUAAUGGGGUGACUGCGUACCUUUUGUAUAAUGGGUCAGCGACUUAUAUUCUGUAGCAAGGUUAACCGAAUAGGGGAGCCGAAGGGAAACCGAGUCUUAACUGGGCGUUAAGUUGCAGGGUAUAGACCCGAAACCCGGUGAUCUAGCCAUGGGCAGGUUGAAGGUUGGGUAACACUAACUGGAGGACCGAACCGACUAAUGUUGAAAAAUUAGCGGAUGACUUGUGGCUGGGGGUGAAAGGCCAAUCAAACCGGGAGAUAGCUGGUUCUCCCCGAAAGCUAUUUAGGUAGCGCCUCGUGAAUUCAUCUCCGGGGGUAGAGCACUGUUUCGGCAAGGGGGUCAUCCCGACUUACCAACCCGAUGCAAACUGCGAAUACCGGAGAAUGUUAUCACGGGAGACACACGGCGGGUGCUAACGUCCGUCGUGAAGAGGGAAACAACCCAGACCGCCAGCUAAGGUCCCAAAGUCAUGGUUAAGUGGGAAACGAUGUGGGAAGGCCCAGACAGCCAGGAUGUUGGCUUAGAAGCAGCCAUCAUUUAAAGAAAGCGUAAUAGCUCACUGGUCGAGUCGGCCUGCGCGGAAGAUGUAACGGGGCUAAACCAUGCACCGAAGCUGCGGCAGCGACACUAUGUGUUGUUGGGUAGGGGAGCGUUCUGUAAGCCUGUGAAGGUGGCCUGUGAGGGUUGCUGGAGGUAUCAGAAGUGCGAAUGCUGACAUAAGUAACGAUAAAGCGGGUGAAAAGCCCGCUCGCCGGAAGACCAAGGGUUCCUGUCCAACGUUAAUCGGGGCAGGGUGAGUCGACCCCUAAGGCGAGGCCGAAAGGCGUAGUCGAUGGGAAACAGGUUAAUAUUCCUGUACUUGGUGUUACUGCGAAGGGGGGACGGAGAAGGCUAUGUUGGCCGGGCGACGGUUGUCCCGGUUUAAGCGUGUAGGCUGGUUUUCCAGGCAAAUCCGGAGAAUCAAGGCUGAGGCGUGAUGACGAGGCACUACGGUGCUGAAGCAACAAAUGCCCUGCUUCCAGGAAAAGCCUCUAAGCAUCAGGUAACAUCAAAUCGUACCCCAAACCGACACAGGUGGUCAGGUAGAGAAUACCAAGGCGCUUGAGAGAACUCGGGUGAAGGAACUAGGCAAAAUGGUGCCGUAACUUCGGGAGAAGGCACGCUGAUAUGUAGGUGAAGCGACUUGCUCGUGGAGCUGAAAUCAGUCGAAGAUACCAGCUGGCUGCAACUGUUUAUUAAAAACACAGCACUGUGCAAACACGAAAGUGGACGUAUACGGUGUGACGCCUGCCCGGUGCCGGAAGGUUAAUUGAUGGGGUUAGCGGCAACGCGAAGCUCUUGAUCGAAGCCCCGGUAAACGGCGGCCGUAACUAUAACGGUCCUAAGGUAGCGAAAUUCCUUGUCGGGUAAGUUCCGACCUGCACGAAUGGCGUAAUGAUGGCCAGGCUGUCUCCACCCGAGACUCAGUGAAAUUGAACUCGCUGUGAAGAUGCAGUGUACCCGCGGCAAGACGGAAAGACCCCGUGAACCUUUACUAUAGCUUGACACUGAACAUUGAGCCUUGAUGUGUAGGAUAGGUGGGAGGCUUUGAAGUGUGGACGCCAGUCUGCAUGGAGCCGGCCUUGAAAUACCACCCUUUAAUGUUUGAUGUUCUAACGUGGGCCCCUAAUCGGGGUUGCGGACAGUGUCUGGUGGGUAGUUUGACUGGGGCGGUCUCCUCCUAAAGAGUAACGGAGGAGCACGAAGGUUGGCUAAUCCUGGUCGGACAUCAGGAGGUUAGUGCAAUGGCAUAAGCCAGCUUGACUGCGAGCGUGACGGCGCGAGCAGGUGCGAAAGCAGGUCAUAGUGAUCCGGUGGUUCUGAAUGGAAGGGCCAUCGCUCAACGGAUAAAAGGUACUCCGGGGAUAACAGGCUGAUACCGCCCAAGAGUUCAUAUCGACGGCGGUGUUUGGCACCUCGAUGUCGGCUCAUCACAUCCUGGGGCUGAAGUAGGUCCCAAGGGUAUGGCUGUUCGCCAUUUAAAGUGGUACGCGAGCUGGGUUUAGAACGUCGUGAGACAGUUCGGUCCCUAUCUGCCGUGGGCGCUGGAGAACUGAGGGGGGCUGCUCCUAGUACGAGAGGACCGGAGUGGACGCAUCACUGGUGUUCGGGUUGUCAUGCCAAUGGCACUGCCCGGUAGCUAAAUGCGGAAGAGAUAAGUGCUGAAAGCAUCUAAGCACGAAACUUGCCCCGAGAUGAGUUCUCCCUGACCCUUUAAGGGUCCUGAAGGAACGUUGAAGACGACGACGUUGAUAGGCCGGGUGUGUAAGCGCAGCGAUGCGUUGAGCUAACCGGUACUAAUGAACCGUGAGGCUUAACCUU